GAAUUAUCUAGAUUUCUCUUUAUUUUUCUGCACUCUCAUCAGCAAAAAAAAUGUCCUAAGGGUUUCUUCAAGCUGGGUUUUCAUAAUUUUUGCACCAAAUCCAGAAAAUUCAAAUACGAAGCAAGAUCGAGGAAAAGAAAAAGUUCGGGAUUAGUAGAUUUUUGUUUACGAACAAUUGUCGAGAGUUAAGAGCUCGGAGGUCGGAUUUGGUCGGAGACACAUCACACUAUCAAUCUCGAGAUCUCGGUACAUAAAGGAACUUUAUUUUGGAAAUCAAUGGCAUGUAUAAGCUAGUAAAUUAGAUGUUAAUGUGAAAUGAAUGUACGGUUAGCCAUUGGUAUGGCUAACAAAUUUUGGUUUUGGUAUGUGAUGAAAUUAUCUUAUGAAUAUGAUAAAUCUAUCUUAAAAAAAAUUCAGUAAAAUCUGGUAAUGCCUCAUACUCUAUUUCAGUGACGAAUACGGGUAGGGGGUAUUACAUUCCACCAUCUUCAUCCACUAACAUUUAAUUUAAAUUGGUUUAUUAACCAUUUAGUCCCUUGGAUAAUUACUAUCUAAGUCCCCAAUCCUUUUCCCAGUUAAAAUUUUAUAGCGAUUAAGCUUUUACAAUUUAGUUAUUGGGACUUAAUUAACCAUAUUUUUUACUAAAUGCUUAACCAAUUUUUUAUUCAUAAAUAUAAUAACUCUAUAAAUAUAUGUAAUUAUUAUUUACGGGCUCAGUUUACGAAAACUAUGUCCCAAAAUCAUAUGUUUUGACACCAUUGGAAACUGAGUCGUUACAAGAUGUAUGUCUAAUCCUUAGGUGGUUAACUUGCUCACCUAUGAUGAAGGUAAGUGCUGUAAAUUCCGUUUGAACUUAAUAAGUAUUAAAUUCUUAUGUAGCACCCCUUGCUUGACCCAACCCUCGGGUCCGAGCUACAGAGUGCUACACUCGCCGUUGGAGCAACCUCAGAUAAUUUUACAUCCUAUAGUUGUACACAUAUGCAAAUAAGUAUAUUAUCGCAUUCAUACUAUGCAAAAUAUUCGUUUCUGGGUCCCAUUUCGGGCAACGUCGUGACUUCAUAAUUUUAUUGUCGCGAAAUUUUCAACUGAGUUACGUCGUGAUGAUAUGUAUAUCUACGUCGUGACAUCACUCAUUGUCAGACAAUGUUGGGACGUCAGGGACUCAUGGUCGGACGUUGCCCCUGUUUUUGGCAAAAUGUAUAUUUGGUACCUAAUUCAAGUGUUUCCAAUCACAACAUAUUAUCAUAACCAUUCAUAUGUCAAUUCCUCCUAUGCCAAAAUAAUACAAUUUAAGCUAAAAUAA